AGUCGUCAGAGCGACUAUAAAUAGGCUUUAGGCUCUGAGCGUGCCGACCGUCAAUAAAAGGCGGUCAGCGGUAGCA
rnacentral:ribozyme from 1 species